rnacentral:rRNA from 1 species
GACGAACGCUGGCGGCGUGCCUAAUACAUGCAAGUCGAGCGAUGAAGCUUGGUGCUUGCACCAAUUUGAAGAGCAGCGAACGGGUGAGUAACGCGUGGGGAAUCUGCCUUUGAGCGGGGGACAACAUUUGGAAACGAAUGCUAAUACCGCAUAACAACUUUAAACAUAAGUUUUAAGUUUGAAAGAUGCAAUUGCAUCACUCAAAGAUGAUCCCGCGUUGUAUUAGCUAGUUGGUGAGGUAAAGGCUCACCAAGGCGAUGAUACAUAGCCGACCUGAGAGGGUGGUCGGCCACAUUGGGACGGAGACACGGCCCAAACUCCCACGGGGGGCAGCAGUAGGGAAUCUUCGGCAAUGGACGAAAGUCUGACCGAGCAACGCCGCGUGAGUGAAGAAGGUUUUCGGGUCGGAAAACUCUGUUGGUAGGGAAGAACGUGGGUGAGAGUGGAAAGCUCAUCAAGUGACGGUAACUACCCAGAAAGGGACGGCUAACUACGUG